rnacentral:tRNA from 1 species
UGACCGAGACAGGGGUCGAACCUGCGACCUUCUGAUCACGGGAUAAUAAUAUUAUAAGAAUAUUUAAUCGUAGUCAGACGCUCUGCCAUUGAGCUACACGGCC